UUAAGUCAGAUGUGAAAGCCCAGGGCUCAACCUUGGAACUGCAUUUGAUACUGGCAAACUAGAGUAUGGUAGAGGAAUGGGGAAUUUCUGGUGUAGCGGUGAAAUGCGUAGAGAUCAGAAGGAACACCAAUGGCGAAGGCAACAUUCUGGACCAAUACUGACACUGAGGGACGAAAGCGUGGGGAUCAAACAGGAUUAGAUACCCUGGUAGUCCACGCUGUAAACGAUGAGUACUAGCUGUUGGAUUCGGUGUAAAGGAUCUAGUGGCGUAGCUAACGCGUUAAGUACUCCGCCUGGGGACUACGGCCGCAAGGCUAAAACUCAAAGGAAUUGACGGGGACCCGCACAAGCGGUGGAGCAUGUGGUUUAAUUCGAUGCAACGCGAAGAACCUUACCUGGUCUUGACAUCCUGCGAACUUUCUAGAGAUAGAUUGGUGCCUUCGGGAACGCAGUGACAGGUGCUGCACGGCUGUCGUCAGCUCGUGUUGUGAAAUGUUGGGUUAAGUCCCGCAACGAGCGCAACCCCUAUUGAUAGUUACCAUCAUUAAGUUGGGUACUCUAUUGAGACUGCCGCUGACAAGGCGGAGGAAGGUGGGGACGACGUCAAGUCAUCAUGGCCCUUACGACCAGGGCUACACACGUGCUACAAUGGGUAUUACAGAGGGCAGCGAAGUAGCGAUAUGGAGCGAAACUCAGAAAGGUACUCUUAGUCCGGAUUGCAGUCUGCAACUCGACUGCAUGAAGUCGGAAUCGCUAGUAAUCGCAGGUCAGAAUACUGCGGUGAAUACGUUCCCGGGUCUUGUACACACCGCCCGUCACACCAUGGGAGUGGGUUGCUCCAGAAGUAGAUAGCUUAACGAAUGGGC
rnacentral:rRNA from 1 species